UGAAAACCCCUCCCACUGAGCGAGUCGCGGCCGUUGAAUCGCCAAGCCGCUGAGCCCAGCAUACCAGGCUAGCAGCCUGAGCCACUGGAGGCGAGCCAACCCACGAAGCCAGCAGCUCCACGCCCUGGAACCCAGAACCCACGAUGUCGUUUCGACAUCGUCCACCCCCAAAGCCGACGCCAUCAUCGGCGUCGCCACUGAUCUUUUGACAAAAAAGAAAAGUCAGAUGUAGAUCCUGAUGAGCAUGUGUUUGAUUUGCAUCUUCGCAAUCUAAUAUUGAAAAAGGAAGCGUAGAAAGAUUUAAAUCUUCUGGAAAUGCUCAAAGGAGAUCGUAACAAAAGCAUUGAUUGGAUGGUUGAGAUGCAAGCCAAAAGCAGACUGAAGGAUGCUACCGUAUUUCUGGCAAUAAAUACCUGGACAACUAUCUGUGUUCGAAUUUUGAUCCGGCAAUAUUUCUUUUCCCUUUUACUAUUUUGUGUAAGAAAUAUAUUGUUUUCAAAAUUUGAUUAGAUUUUUUAUUAUUUAUUUUA